rnacentral:lncRNA from 1 species
AUGGCGUCUGGGCGGGCCUUCCGGCGUCCACCAUGGGCGACAUUUUGUAAAUUGGGAUCUGUUCCCCGAGCUUUGGGACCGCUGACCCGCCUAAGAGAAGCGAAUCGGGAAGGCGCUUUGCGGCGAUGCCUAGGCCGCACCUUCGCGCACAGACUCCCCUGGCGGCGGACGCGCUGAUGGGCCCGCCUCUGGUUCCACGUUCAGCUGAACCAUUUAUGGACCCCGCUCCAGUAAGUAUCAGGUGUCUUGGAACUCUUUUAAUGCCGCUUUUCCUGGCCUUAUCUGGAGAUCCUGGAGAAACUCUAAGCUCAGGUUUCUAAGUCUAGGCCUGAGGUUAUGUGGAGAGAUUUCACAGAGAUACGAAAGGUUGUGUUAGUCACAAGGGUUAGUAUGUACAAAUGCUUGGGGAUGAGACUGAGAUGGGGGUGUCCCAUGACUUGGAGGUCUCUGCUACUAUCUGGUGAGAACACAUAGCAAGGGGGCCAGAGUCAGGCCUAGAUGGUAGCCUGAGAAGUGGGGUUUCUGUUUGAGAGUGAUGGCAGCCAUGGAAUUUUUGGAACCGAAGACAAAAGUGAUCUGACUUAGGACUUAAGAGGCUACCCCUGGCUGCCGAGUGCAGAAUAGACUGAGGGCAAGGAAGACAAGAAGCAGACCAUUCCAGAAGCAAUUGCAUGCAUCCAGGUGAGUGUUGGUUGUGGCAGGACCAGAGUGGUGGGUGUGGAGGUAGGAGAAACACUUGGCCUCUGGAUUUGUUUUGAAGUAGGGACUGACCAGCUGUUGUAAUGUGGAGGGGUCACAGAUGACUAAAGUUUUGUCUCCUUUGCACCUGGAAGGGUGGGUGUGCCAUCAGCUGAGAUGGGGAAGUCUGUGGUAUGAGUACGUUCUAGUGAGAAUAUUAGGAAUUGGGUUUUGGCUAUAUUGAGGUUCACAUGUCCCAGAGACUUCACAGUACAGGAGACCAGUGGAGAGCUGAACAUUCAGAUCUAGAGUGCUAGGGAGGACUUCAGGAUGCCAUUAGGGGAGAGAGGAAGGGAGAGGGCUGUGGACCUCCCAAAGACAGACAAGGAGGAGGAGUUACUAUGGAAAGGUAGAUUGUGAUGAAAAGUCCAGCAGGUGGCCUAGGUUUUCGUGGGGGAGUGGCCAUGACAUUGAGGCCGAAGUAAAGCAGAAACGGACGUGAACUGACAACAGUGUCAGGCUGGUGCUUACUUCUUCUCCUGUAGACUUAACAGCCUUUUGUGGUGGAACCUGGGGAGUGUCUGUCAGAAUGUCAAGUGACUUUACCCAAGAUGUGUCCCGUGGGUGUGGAUUUUGAGUGGC